CAGCCGCCGCGGGAAUACGUAGGGUGCGAGCGUUAAUCGGAAUUACUGGGCGUAAAGCGUGCGCAGGCGGUUCGUUAAGACAGAUGUGAAAUCCCCGGGCUUAACCUGGGAACUGCAUUUGUGACUGGCGAGCUAGAGUAUGGCAGAGGGGGGUAGAAUUCCACGUGUAGCAGUGAAAUGCGUAGAGAUGUGGAGGAAUACCGAUGGCGAAGGCAGCCCCCUGGGCCAAUACUGACGCUCAUGCACGAAAGCGUGGGGAGCAAACAGGAUUAGAGACCCGAGUAGUCCCUGUCUCUUAUAA
rnacentral:rRNA from 1 species